GAGUCUGGCCAUACCACCCUGAAUGAGCCCAAUCUCGCCUGCUCUCGGAAGCUAAGCAGGGUGGGGCCUGGUUAGUACUCAGGUGGAAAAAAGAGAAUCAGGCAGACAUAUGUC
ensembl:rRNA 5S_rRNA 5S ribosomal RNA